AGGUUGAACGCUGGCGGCAUGCCUAACACAUGCAAGUCGAGCGGCAGCGCGGGGGCGACCCUGGCGGCGAGCGGCGGACGGGUGAGUAAGGCAUCGGAAUCUGCCCUGAUGUGGGGGAUAACGUAGGGAAACUUACGCUAAUACCGCAUACGACCGAGAGGUGAAAGCGGGGGACCGAAAGGCCUCGCGCUGAAGGAGCGGCCGAUGUCCGAUUAGCUAGUUGGUGAGGUAAAGGCUUACCAAGGCGACGAUCGGUAGCUGGUCUGAGAGGAUGAUCAGCCACACUGGGACUGAGACACGGCCCAGACUCCUACGGGAGGCAGC
rnacentral:rRNA from 1 species